GACCCGGUGGCAUAGUCGGUUAUGCGUUUGUCCAAUAUCGCCCAUCUCUGAUCUUCUUUAGGUGCCUGCCAAAUUAGACAAAAUAUCCUCAGUUCGAGUCUGAGCCGGGUCG